rnacentral:rRNA from 1 species
GACGAACGCUGGCGGCGUGCCUAAUACAUGCAAGUUGAGCGCUGAAGGUUGGUACUUGUACCGACUGGAUGAGCAGCGCACGGGUGAGUAACGCGUGGGGAAUCUGCCUUUGAUCGGGGGACAACAAUUGGAAACGAAUGCUAAUACCGCAUAAAAACUUUAAACACAAGUUUUAAGGUUGAAAGAUGCCAUUGCAUCACUCAAAGAUGAUCCCGCGUUGUGUUAGCUAGUUGGUGAGGUAAAGGCGCACCAAGGCGAGGAUACAUAGCCGACCUGAGAGGGUGAUCGGCCACAUUGGGACUGAGACACGGCCCAAACUCCUACGGGAGGCAGCAGUAGGGAAUCUUCGGCAAUGGACGAAAGUCUGACCGAGCAGCGCCGAGUGCGUGAAGAAGGUUGUCGGAUCGUAAAACUCUGUUGGUAGGGAAGAACGUUGGUGAGAGUGGAAAGCUCAUCAAGUGACGGUAACUACUCAAAAAGGGACGGCUAACUACGUG